CUUGUUUUGGCGCAACUUUGCAGGUCGGCAGAAAAUUUUGGUAAAUUUUCGUUGGUGUUGGUGGCGGAAGGAUGGACAAAUUUCUCUUGAAAAACUCACAGGAUGGACAAGACAGCAGCAUUGAGGCAAUUGAGGAGGACAACCAGCUAGCAAAAAGGCAGCGAGUCGGAAGAUCAUCGGUGUGGGGCCAUUUCGAAAAAAUUAACAACGGUAUAUCGGCAAAGUGUAUAAGACGAGCGGAAAUACCUCAAAUUUAUUUGACCACCUGAAGCGUGCGCAUCCCGGUCAGCGUGUUAACGAUGUGCCAAUCACUUCUGGUAAAAUAGAUACAUAUUUAAACACAACAUAUGAAUCUACGUCAAAGCGCAAACAAGAGCUUGAUUUAGGACUCAUAAAAUUUGUAGCUCAAGGCAUGCAACCUUUUUCUAUAGUUGAGGAUCCUGAGUUUCGCGACUUUAUCAAACUAUUCGACCCACGCUACAAACUACCGUCGCGGACUACCCUCUCUAAUAUCAUGAUGACAAAUUUAUUUGAUGAGCAGAAACCUAAAUUAAAAAAUUUGCUCAGCAAAAUAAAUCACAACAGAUAUGUGGACUUCCCUGGCAAAUGAAUCUUAUAUGACAGUCACAUGCUCGUUUAUUACAGAUAGUUACUGUCUUUGCUCUGCUGUUUUAUCAACAAACAAGCUAAUUGAUGAAACAAAUCAUACUGCUAAGAAUAUAGCAGAUACCCUGCAGGCUGUUUGCAACGAAUGGGGAAUUUUUGAUAAAAUCACUGCAAUUGUGACCGAUAAUGCAAGCUCAAUGAUCAAAGCGUGUGAGCUGCUUAAAAAAAGGAAUUUACCCUGCUAUACACACUCACUUAAUUUGGUGGUGCAAGAUUGCCUUAAGCUGGAUUGCACAAAAGAAUUACUAAAAAAAUGCAAGUCCAUUGUCGGGUUUUUUAAAAGUAGCACGAUUGCUUACAAGAAAUUUAAAGAUUCUCAAUUGACGGAAACUAAAUAUAGUCUAAUACAGGAAGUUGCCACCAGAUGGAACAGUGCAUUCCUAAUGAUUGAAAGAGUCUUAAAAACACAUGAAGUAAUCAAUAUAACACUUCUAAGUUUGUCGAAAGCGCCACAGCCUCUCACAGCUGACGAAAUCAACAUAUUAAAAGACUUGUCACAAAUACUUUCUCCCUUUGACAUUGCUUCCAAAGAAGUGUCAUCGAAUUCUAAAGUCACUGUAUCACUAGUUAUUCCAGUUACUUGUGGCCUCUUAAACAACUUGGAAAAUAGCACUAAAAAUCUUCUUACCGAAGUUGGCCUUAAAGUAAACGAAUUUUUAAUUGAUUGCGUAAUCAAAAGGUUGUACAAGUACGAAGAUCGCACAGUAACUAGCAUUUCUACAUUGCUUCAUUGCUUUACACCGUUGGAUUGCUUUGCUGCUAGUUUGUUGU